GAACGCUGGCGGCGUGCCUAAUACAUGCAAGUCGAACGGUCUUUCUAUGGAAGCUUGCUUCCACUGAGAAGAUAGUGGCGAACGGGUGAGUAACACGUGGGUAACCUGCCCAUAAGAGGGGGAUAACAUCCGGAAACGGGUGCUAAUACCGCAUAGUUUUCUUGAUCGCAUGAUCGGGAAAGGAAAGACGGCCUUUGUGCUGUCGCUUAUGGAUGGACCCGCGGCGUAUUAGUUAGUUGGUGAGGUAACGGCUCACCAAGACGAUGAUACGUAGCCGACCUGAGAGGGUGAUCGGCCACAUUGGGACUGAGACACGGCCCAAACUCCUACGGGAGGCAGCAGUAGGGAAUCUUCCGCAAUGGACGAAAGUCUGACGGAGCAACGCCGCGUGAGUGAAGAAAAGGUUUUCGGAUCGUAAAACUCUGUUGUCAGAGAAGAACAAGUUGGAGAGUAACUGCUCCAGCCUUGACGGUAUCUGACCAGAAAGCCACGGCUAACUACGUGCCAGCAGCCGC
rnacentral:rRNA from 1 species